CGACUCCAUGAAGCUGGAUUCGCUAGUAAUCGCGCAUCAGCCACGGCGCGGUGAAUACGUUCCCGGGCCUUGUACACACCGCCCGUCAAGCCAUGGGAGCCGGGAGUGCCUGAAGUACGUGACCGCAAGGAGCGUCCUAGGGUAAGACCGGUGACUGGGGCUAAGUCGUAACAAGGUAUC
rnacentral:rRNA from 1 species